GAGACACGGCCCAGACUCUACGGGAGGCAGCAGUGGGGAAUUUUGGACAAUGGGGGCAACCCUGAUCCAGCCAUUCCGCGUGAGUGAAGAAGGCCUUCGGGUUGUAAAGCUCUUUUGUUCGGGACGAAACGGUUUCACCUAAUACGUGAGACUACUGACGGUACCGGAAGAAUAAGCACCGGCUAACUACGUGCCAGCAGCCGCGGUAAUACGUAGGGUGCGAGCGUUAAUCGGAAUUACUGGGCGUAAAGCGUGCGCAGGCGGUUUUAUAAGCCAGAUGUGAAAGCCCCGGGCUCAACCUGGGAAUGGCAUUUGGGACUGUAAGGCUGGAGUAUGGCAGAGGAGACUAGAAUUCCUGGUGUAGCAGUGAAAUGCGUAGAUAUCAGGAGGAAUACCGAUGGCGAAGGCAGGUCUCUGGGUCAAUACUGACGCUCAUGCACGAAAGCGUGGGGAGCAAACAGGAUUAGAUACCCUGGUAGUCC
rnacentral:rRNA from 1 species